CGUACAGCCCAUUAAGGAAUGACGUAACACGUAAGGACCGUCAGGCCCAGUUAAGAGAGCUACGUAUUGGAUAAGAAUGGCAACUGAUCGUUCCGAGCGGACUGUUCUACGAAAGGGUGACCUUUGUUAAAAGUGGCCUAAAAACUGAACCUACGAUAAACGACUGUGGACACCUAAAGCUGAUACGCCGCAAAGUCAAUUGUAUCCAUAUUAUCAUUAUUAUUCAAAUUGUCUCCCAGCAUUUAUACUGCAAAAUGUGAAGAAAUUAUCCGAAGAUGCACCUGGACGUAGAGGCUACAGCCAAAUAAGUCUUCAUUUGCUCACAUUGAAGUGCUGAUUAGCUGUUCUUCAUGAAGUGAUUAUGUUUCGCUGUAUUGACGUAUCUUCAUAACGCUGUAAAAAUACUUCUCAUAGACACUAACAGUCGUGUUACUUCAGCUGCUUGAACCAACUGUAAAGUCUCGGCAAAUGUAUCA